CAGCAGCCACGGGAAUACGAAGGGGGCUAGCGUUGUUCGGAUUUACUGGGCGUAAAGCGCACGUAGGCGGAUCGAUCAGUCAGGGGUGAAAUCCUGGAGCUCAACUCCAGAACUGCCUUUGAUACUGUCGAUCUCGAGUCCGGAAGAGGUGAGUGGAACUCCUAGUGUAGAGGUGGAAUUCGUAGAUAUUAGGAAGAACACCAGUGGCGAAGGCGGCUCACUGGUCCGGUACUGACGCUGAGGUGCGAAAGCGUGGGGAGCAAACAGGAUUAGAGACCCCGGUAGUCCCUGUCUCUUAUAC
rnacentral:rRNA from 1 species